rnacentral:lncRNA from 1 species
CGCUGUAAUUAUAUCUCAUGCAGAUGAAGCAGCGAAAGAAAUUAAUUGUAAAGGUUCAAUUGUGAAAUUUAUCAUGAAUGUGUUAGAUUAGAUCUAAAGGAAUAUUCAUGAUUUAUUUUGAUUGAGUUAUUUUCUGUUAUGUAAUUAGCAAUAGGAUUGCUAUUUAUGAAAUAUGUUGAUCUAUUUGUGAAAUGAGUCAACAUAUU